UACGUAGGGUCCAAGCGUUAUCCGGAAUCACUGGGCGUAAAGCGUGCGUAGGUGGGAAUUUAAGUGUGAUGUUAAAUCGUGUGGCUCAACCAUAUCGAUGCAUCGCAUACUGGGUUCCUAGAGGACGGCAGAGGCAAGUGGAAUUAGCAGUGUAGCAGUGAAAUGCGUAGAUAUCAGGAGGAACACCAAUUGCGAAGGCAGCUCGCUGGGACGUUACUGACGCUGAGACGCGAAAGCGUGGGGAGCAAACAGG
rnacentral:rRNA from 1 species